UUUCGAUGCCUUCCCUGUCUUCCAAAGUCAUCCUUCUCAUCCUCUGUCCUAUCUUUCCCAAAGCUAGCAGGCUGCUGGAGCCUGCACCCUCUAAGCGGCAGCCGUGGGUGUCUGACAAUUUUAGGGAAUGAGGUGCAGGGUCUGCCCCUCCCCCACCCCAGCUUCUAUUCAAGCUCCAGGGUUUCCCUUUCCUUGCCUGAUGGUGAUUUUCCCCAACUCGCUGGACACCCAGGAGCCUCUUGCCUCUAUUCUUCUGUCUCUUCAUGGAGCAACUGUGCCAGGGCUGCCUCAGGGCCUUUGCAUGACUCCACUCCUCCUCACUUCCUUCAGAGAAGCUUCAUUCUUAGAACACACCUUAUAUACAUCACAUGCUCUCCGCUCCCUCCCCACUCAGUCCCUCGAUCCUCUCCGUAACUCUGGACUCCUUAGCUUGUGCUGGCUCUGCUGGCUGCCACCCACAUGGCAGUGACCUCUCUCUAAGGGCAG
rnacentral:lncRNA from 1 species